AUAUUUCUAGUAUAAUAGUAUGUUCGCCUUCCAAGCGAGAGGUCAAAAAACAUUUUUGGAGAUAUA
rnacentral:tRNA from 1 species